UACAGAGGGUGCAAACGUUGCUCGGAAUCAUUGGGCGUAAAGCGCACGUAGGCGGUCUGAUAAGUCGGAUGUGAAAGCCCUGGGCUCAACCCAGGAAGUGCAUUCGAAACUGCCAGACUUGAAUAUGGAAGAGGGUCGCGGAAUUCCCGGUGUAGAGGUGAAAUUCGUAGAUAUCGGGAGGAACACCAGUGGCGAAGGCGGCGACCUGGGCCAAUAUUGACGCUGAGGUGCGAAAGCGUGGGGAGCAAAC
rnacentral:rRNA from 1 species